rnacentral:rRNA from 1 species
AGAUUGAACGCUGGCGGCAUGCCUUACACAUGCAAGUCGAACGGCAGCACGGGAGCAAUCCUGGUGGCGAGUGGCGAACGGGUGAGUAAUAUAUCGGAACGUGCCCAGUCGUGGGGGAUAACGCAGCGAAAGCUGUGCUAAUACCGCAUACGAUCUAUGGAUGAAAGCGGGGGAUCGCAAGACCUCGCGCGAUUGGAGCGGCCGAUAUCAGAUUAGCUAGUUGGUGGGGUAAAAGCCUACCAAGGCGACGAUCUGUAGCUGGUCUGAGAGGACGACCAGCCACACUGGAACUGAGACACGGUCCAGACUCCGUACGGGAGCAGCGAGGUCGGGGUAAUUUUGGACAAGUGGGCGCAAGCCUGAUCCAGCAAUCGCCGCGUGCGAGGAUGGAACGGUCCGUUCGGGUUAGUAACGUUGU